rnacentral:misc_RNA from 1 species
UGGCUCUCGCAUCGAUGAAGAACGCAGCGAAAUGCGAUAAGUAAUGUGAAUUGCAGAAUUCAGUGAAUCAUCGAAUCUUUGAACGCACCUUGCGCUCCUUGGUAUUCCGAGGAGCAUGCCUGUUUGAGUGUCAUGAAUAUCUUCAACCUCUAGCUUUCAAUGUAUUUAUGCAUGAAGCUGGUUAGGCUUGGAUUGUGGGAGGUUUUGCUGGUCUUUUUGGUCUGGCUCUCCUUAAAAACAUUAGCAAAGAUCAUUUGUUGGCAUUGGGUCUGGGUAUGAUAACUAGUGUUGUAUAAAUACCAUUGAGGCGCCAAGUCAUGAAAUUUUUUUUCUUUGCUUCUAAUUCUCUCCUUCAAAGAGAGAAGAACAAUUCUAUGAAAUUUGACCUCAAAUCAGGUAGGACUACCCGCUGA